rnacentral:rRNA from 1 species
AGAGUUUGAUCCUGGCUCAGGAUGAACGCUAGCGGGAGGCCUAACACAUGCAAGCCGAGCGGUAGGUUUCCUUCGGGAGACUGAGAGCGGCGCACGGGUGCGGAACACGUGUGCAACCUGCCUUUAUCAGGGGGAUAGCCUUUCGAAAGGAAGAUUAAUACCCCAUAAUAUAUUAAGUGGCAUCACUUGAUAUUGAAAACUCCGGUGGAUAAAGAUGGGCACGCGCAAGAUUAGAUAGUUGGUGAGGUAACGGCUCACCAAGUCUACGAUCUUUAGGGGGCCUGAGAGGGUGAUCCCCCACACUGGUACUGAGACACGGACCAGACUCCUACGGGAGGCAGCAGUGAGGAAUAUUGGACAAUGGGUGAGAGCCUGAUCCAGCCAUCCCGCGUGAAGGACGACGGCCCUAUGGGUUGUAAACUUCUUUUGUAUAGGGAUAAACCUAGAUACGUGUAUCUAGCUGAAGGUACUAUACGAA